rnacentral:rRNA from 1 species
AUGUUCAGAACUUCUUCAGGUACCUUUGUAACACGAAGAAGGCCGCGGCGGCGGGGAUGCGGCAGCAAGGUUACUCCGCCGCCGCCGUGGGCACGUAGCAGGGAGCAGGUUCCUGAGAUCGACAACGGCGCAGAUACGGCAGCGCCCAGCAGGGAGCAGGUUCCUGAGAUCAACAGCGGCGCCACCGUGAGCGCUCAGCUUCACCACCGAUUUGUUUUCCUCAACGGUGAGCGCCGGGUCGAGGAAGGAGCCGUUGGACGGCUCGCCCCACUCCACGGCGCAAGGCCACGGCUCCGGCGACGAGAGGAAGAAGAACUCGUGUCUCCAGCCCGGGGUGGUUUUGCAACCCCCGUUCGGCAAGCUUGUGAUGUCCCGCCUGGAUCGGAAAAAGUACCACCCUUUCUCGUGCUUUUGGUCCAUGAUGGACAGGUGGAAGAAGCGCCGGAACACCGCGACCGAGGGAGGGACGCCGGCGGACUCGCAGAGCACGAGGAAGCCCGCCAUGAAGCGCCACCCGUUGGGCGUGAGCUGCGCCGGCGCGAUGCCGAAGUGGGCGAGGACCUCGCGGAAGAAGCCGCGCAGCGGGACGCGCAUCCCGGCCUCCAGCGCGCGCGCGUACACGCAGAUGGCCCCCGGCGGCGGCGUCGAGUUCGCGCGCAGGUCGCCGGCGGGCCGCGCGGUGAACUCCUUGGGCACGCCGUACUUGUCGCAGAGCGCGUCGACCUCGUCCUGGGUGCGCAGGAGCGAGGCGAAGCCCUCGGCGCCCGUGGCCCUCGUUUCCUUGGCAUCAUUGCCGGCGAUGAGUUCGGCUGCGGUGACCACGCGGUGUUCCGGGUAGAGGGAGGAGGAGGAAGGCAUGGUGCGCCUGGCAGCCGGCGGCGUCGCCUCCUUUCCUACCCUGCCCUGUCGUGCAGACUGCUGCAGUGCAGCGGAGACCAAAUGCGGUGUCGACGCGGUGUUCUGGACUCUCUUUCGGACUUUUGGACUUGA